UCGGCACAAAAAAAGUUAUCUCUUUUUUGGACCCGCUUCCAAUACCAUAUUUGGCGAAGACUAUACUUAAAAAUGUGGCCGAUAAUUUUAAUCUUGCCCUCGAAGUUUCAAACCCUGCAUCAAAGGAUGACAUAACUAAAUGGGGUUGCAAGGCUCCCAAAGUUCCAACAAAUCUAGACGAUGCUCUGUCGGGUUAUUUGGUUUUUGAGUUCAUGCAUUCAUGGUACGAUGGAUUGCUACAUUUUCCAGUACCCACGGACGGUUUUCAACUAAGGAAGCGAUUUUUGGUUCACAUCCUGAAGUAUGAAGCAAAUGAAGCUUUAAGCAAUAUCCCAGCCAUUGCA